GGUGCUGGUGCACCGUAAAUGAUGUCUCAGCUUGCUAAAUAAAUAUCUGAUUUUCUAAAACUAAAAGAAAGAAAAUAAAGGCAAGAGAGAUAAACGAAAAGGCAACAGCAUGUUACCCAAGUUUCCAAAAAGAAAGCCCAACAGAUGCAGCUUCAGACUCAGCAGCCCUAUCUGCUCGUCCACUCACCCCUGAACCAGCCCUACUCCCAACUGAAGGAGCUGAGACAAACGUGCACGGCCAGGACUGGGUCCCUGGAGCUCAAG